rnacentral:rRNA from 1 species
UGGGGAAUAUUGCACAAUGGGCGCAAGCCUGAUGCAGCCAUGCCGCGUGUGUGAAGAAGGCCUUCGGGUUGUAAAGCACUUUCAGCGGGGAGGAAGGCGGUGAGGUUAAUAACAUCAUCGAUUGACGUUACCCGCAGAAGAAGCACCGGCUAACUCCGUGCCAGCAGCCGCGGUAAUACGGAGGGUGCAAGCGUUAAUCGGAAUUACUGGGCGUAAAGCGCACGCAGGCGGUUUGUUAAGUCAGAUGUGAAAUCCCCGGGCUCAACCUGGGAACUGCAUCUGAUACUGGCAAGCUUGAGUAUCGUAGAGGGGGGUAGAAUACCAGGUGUAGCGAUGAAAUGCGUAGAGAUCUGGAGGAAUACCGGUGGCGAAGGCGGCCCCCUGGACGAAGACUGACGCUCAGGUGCGAAAGCGUGGGGAGCAAACAGG